rnacentral:rRNA from 1 species
UACGUAGGGUGCAAGCGUUGUCCGGAAUUAUUGGGCGUAAAGGGCUCGUAGGCGGUCCGUCACGUCGGGUGUGAAAACUUGGGGCUUAACCCCAAGCCUGCUUCCGAUACGGGCAGACUAGAGGUAGGUAGGGGAGAAUGGAAUUCCCGGUGUAGCGGUGAAAUGCGCAGAUAUCGGGAGGAACACCGGUGGCGAAGGCGGUUCUCUGGGCCUUACCUGACGCUGAGGAGCGAAAGCGUGGGGAGCGAACAGG